UGCGGGAUGGAGCAGUCUGGUAGCUCGUCGGGCUCAUAACCCGAAAGUCGUUGGUUCAAAUCCAGCUCCCGCUACCA
rnacentral:tRNA from 1 species